GGUUCCAUAGUGCAACGGUUAGCACGUCUGCUUUACACGCAGGAGGUCCUAGGUUCGCGCCCCAGUGGAGCCA
rnacentral:tRNA from 1 species